GAUGAACGCUGGCGGCGUGCCUAAUACAUGCAAGUCGAGCGAACGGACGAGAAGCUUGCUUCUCUGAUGUUAGCGGCGGACGGGUGAGUAACACGUGGAUAAACUAGCUAUAAGACUGGGAUAACUUCGGGAAACCGUAGCUAAUACCGGAUAAUAUUUUGAACCGCAUGGUUCAAAAGUGAAAGACGGUCUUGCUGUCACUUAUAGAUGGAUCCGCGCUGCAUUAGCUAGUUGGUAAGGUAACGGCUUACCAAGGCAACGAUGCAUAGCCGACCUGAGAGGGUGAUCGGCCACACUGGAACUGAGACACGGUCCACACUCCUACGGGAGGCAGCAGUAGGGAAUCUUCCGCAAUGGGCGAAAGCCUGACGGAGCAACGCCGCGUGAGUGAUGAAGGUCUUCUGAUCGUAAAACUCUGUUAUUAGGGAAGAACAUAUGUGUAAGUAACUGUGCACAUCUUGACGUUACCUAAUCAGAAAGCCACGGCUAACUACGUG
rnacentral:rRNA from 1 species